CAUGGACACACUGAUGUGUCCAUACUCUAAUGACAAACAAAUAAUUUUUUAUACAACAAAUAUAAUAUAUUGAUCAGAACCCAAACAAUUUCAUUAGCUUACCAAUAUUACAUUUGAACUAUGUACUUAAAACAGUUGUAUAAUUUUAUUAACAACAAAUAUGAAAUUAAAACCUUAUAUAUAUACCUAUUUGUCUGUGACCGGAAGAAUGCACAACUUAGAUUUUGUCCAGAUUAUUAGAAUCCACGCAGAUCCGAACGAACUAAUAUUUAGAUUAAAUAUAAAUUUCUAUAAUUUGUGCAGAUCUUUGUUCAUGUUUUGUCAUAUAUACAGAUGUGUAUCAGAUAUCAUUCUCAGUGAGCAAUGCUUUCAGAAGCUUCGUACUAUUAUAUUAAAUCAUUUUUAUAUAUGAAUACUCAGAAAAGAACUGCAUUAAAAUAUAUUCCCGCAUGGAUCUACACAUAACUACAUACAAGAUAAAUUAUUCCUGACAUCUGGAUGGACAUAACAAUGCACUGGCGUACUAUGUGAAGAUAAUGACUUAUAUGUAUUUGUAACACCAGAUAUUAUCCAACCAAAUAC